rnacentral:rRNA from 1 species
UAAAAUUACAAAAAUUUGGCGGUAUUUUAGUCUUUUCAGGGGACCUGUUCUAUAAUUGAUAGUCCACGAUUUAUUUUACUUAUUUUCUUAAUUUGUAUAUCGUCGUAGUUUGAAUAUUUUAAAAGAAUUUAAAUAUUCAAGAUUUUUUAUAUAAAAGGAAUUCAGAUCAAGGUGUAGUUUAUAAAUGAGGAGAAAUGGGUUACAUUUAAGUUAUUAUUUGAAUAAUUUUAUGAAAUUGAAGUUUAAAAUUGGAUUUGAAAGUAAUUAUAAAAAAAUUUUUAUUGUGAUUUAAGCUCUAAAAUAUGUACAUAUUGCCCGUCGCUUUUGUUUUAAGAUUAAAUAAGUCGUAACAAAGUAGAUUUACUGGAAAGUGAAUCUAGAAGU